rnacentral:rRNA from 1 species
UACGUAGGGUGCAAGCGUUGUCCGGAAUUAUUGGGCGUAAAGAGCUCGUAGGCGGUUCGUUGCGUCGGCUGUGUAAUCCCGAGGCUCAACCUCGGGUCUGCAGUCGAUACGAGCAAACUAGAGUGUUGCAGGGGAGACUGGAAUUCCUGGUGUAGCGGUGAAAUGCGCAGAUAUCAGGAGGAACACCGGUGGCGAAGGCGGGUCUCUGGGCAACAACUGACGCUGAGGAGCGAAAGCGUGGGGAGCGAACAGG